AUGGAGGCGAGCAAGCUCAAGGCGGCCAGGCUCCUGGAGCAGAUGAGCGCCCACCUCGCCACCGACGCCGGCAAGGAGAUUGCCAACAAGGUCGGCUUCGUCUACCAGCUCAACAUCUCGCCCAAGAAGAUGGGCGUGGACGAGGAGAUCUUCGUCGUGGACCUCAAGAAGGGCGCCGUCUCCACAGGGAAGUACGAGGGGACCCCGGACGCGGCCUUCACCUUCACCGACGACGACUUCCUCGCCAUCGCCAGUGGCAAGCUGAACCCGCAGAUGGCGUUCAUCCGGGGUAAGCUGAAGAUCAAGGGGAGCAUCAGCGCCGCGCAGAAGUUCACGCCGGACAUCUUCCCCAAGCCGUCCAAGUUGUAG
rnacentral:rRNA from 1 species